AAGCUUGCUUCUCUGAUGUUAGCGGCGGACGGGUGAGUAACACGUGGAUAACCUACCUAUAAGACUGGGAUAACUUCGGGAAACCGGAGCUAAUACCGGAUAAUAUUUUGAACCGCAUGGUUCAAAAGUGAAAGACGGUCUUGCUGUCACUUAUAGAUGGAUCCGCGCUGCAUUAGCUAGUUGGUAAGGUGAACGGCUUACCAAGGCAACGAUGCAUAGCCGACCUGAGAGGGUGAUCGGCCACACUGGAACUGAGACACGGUCCAGACUCCUACGGGAGGCAGCAGUAGGGAAUCUUCCGCAAUGGGCGAAAGCCUGACGGAGCAACGCCGCGUGAGUGAUGAAGGUCUUCGGAUCGUAAAACUCUGUUAUUAGGGAAGAACAUAUGUGUAAGUAACUGUGCACAUCUUGACGGUACCUAAUCAGAAAGCCACGGCUAACUACGUGCCAGCAGCCGCGGUAAUACGUAGGUGGCAAGCGUUAUCCGGAAUUAUUGGGCGUAAAGCGCGCGUAGGCGGUUUUUUAAGUCUGAUGUGAAAGCCCACGGCUCAACCGUGGAGGGUCAUUGGAAACUGGAAAACUUGAGUGCAGAAGAGGAAAGUGGAAUUCCAUGUGUAGCGGUGAAAUGCGCAGAGAUAUGGAGGAACACCAGUGGGCGAAGGCGACUUUCUGGUCUGUAACUGACGCUGAUGUGCGAAAGCGUGGGGAUCAAACAGGAUUAGAUACCCUGGUAGUCCACGCCGUAAACGAUGAGUGCUAAGUGUUAGGGGUUUCCGCCCCUUAGUGCUGCAGCUACGCAUUAAGCACUCCGCCUGGGGAGUACGACC
rnacentral:rRNA from 1 species